rnacentral:rRNA from 1 species
UACAGAGGGGGCGAGCGUUGUUCGGAAUUAUUGGGCGUAAAGCGCUUGUAGGCGGCUUGUUAAGUUCCGUGUGAAAUCCCCAGGCUUAACCUGGGAAGUGCGCGGAAAACUGGCGAGCUUGAGUGCCGGAGAGGGUCGCGGAAUUCCCGGUGUAGAGGUGAAAUUCGUAGAUAUCGGGAGGAACACCAGUGGCGAAGGCGGCGACCUGGACGGACACUGACGCUGAGACG